rnacentral:lncRNA from 1 species
UUUUAUCGCUCGUAAUACAUCAAAGGCAAAAGAGGAUCCGGAAUUUGAACACAAAAAGGGCAUGGCGGCGCAUAUCAGAAACCCCAAAUAAUUCUCUUCGAAUACCAGUGAGUAGGCUUCUCAUCUUGGUCCUAUUUUAAAACCCUAAUCGAAGCCUAUUCUCAAUUCUCUUAAAUAGUCUGCUGGAUUUUUAAAAUCUUGCUUUCUAUAUUAUACAAUUUUAAUCUUAUUGUCUAGAAUUUUAAAGACUACACCUCAUAAUCAUUAGCACGAGUGCAUGGCCAUGAGGAAACAAGUGCGGCUUUCAGAUACUGUGCCAAUUGAUUGCCCAGAUUUAUUUCUGCUGGCGGUCUAAAUUAGUGGCGUGAAUAUGAUGUUUUGAUUGCCUUACUCAUCUGAGUGCAUGUAUGUGCGUAGUAUAUUUAUUUUGAAAUAUGAUUUUCUGCAGUGGUGUACCAUUUUGUAUAUUUUUAGGUAAGAAGGUUGUAAUUACUUUAUCUUGGAAAUUAGAAGAAAAGAAUAGAAUUGUGGUGUCAAUUUAUUUCAAUUAAACUUCUAGGAAGAUAUUUCAAGGGGACCAAGUGGAUAGAGAGAGGAAGAUGAUGAAUUAUAACAGGUACUGAUGAUGGGUUUUUUCAGUAUCCAGAUGUAUCUCCUGGUGCGGCCAAAUUGUGCCUGUGCCGAGCAUCCGAGAUAUGUGAAACCAUUGAUUUCCUCCUUUUUUCCGAUUCCCCUCUCCAUCCAUUAUUAGAUUAACCAUUGCUAUUUAUAUAAAAGUUCAUGUUGAUCAGAUUGGUUGUUUAUGUAUUAAAAUUACCUUUUAAGUUUCUUAUAAUGCACAUGAUGAGUCUAGGUAUGAUCUGCUGCUUCAUGUGCACAUGAGUAAUACUUGGUUUAACAUACAAGUGUUGCUUGGAAUGUUAGUUUUAGUGUUUAACUCUCAUCACACCUUACUAACGACCACCAUUUCCAUAUGGCACAUUCUUCAGUUAAGCUCCAGUGGAAUGGGUGAUUAUACUCUAAAUUGCAUGGGAGGAUCUAUUUUUCUUUUUAUUAUAUACGUUUUGAAAAUGGACAGCUAAGAAAUACUGCUUCUGUGACAGAGAAGUGUACGGAAAUUCUCUGUUUAAGACAUUGUCUAAUUUAGUUCGGGCGUCAGACUUUCUCUUCUCCUACCGUACCUUUUACGGAAAUUAAAUUUGUCUUAUUUUUUCAUGUUUACUGCAGCCUGGACUGUAAAAUUUCAUGGCUGAGAAUCAUUGAAAGGGGAUAAGAAUUAUAGGCGGUGAAAGUUUCAAUGGGAAGAGUGGAUGCAAAUAAUAAGUAUUUUGUUACCUUUCAUCAGAAAAACAAUCAUUUGGUAUCCCUUUCUUGUUCAUGUACCCAAAAUUCGCUGACUAGUCUUCCAAAUUUCUCUCUUUUCCUCAACUAGCCACCGAAGACUAAUAUUUUCAUUACCUUUCCAUUAAUUUUCGUCCUCCAGAUCACUCCAAAACCCUGAUAAUCUUGACAAGAAUCCAAAUAUUUUCAGCCACAAAGACUGGUUAAGCCCAUCUGAAGUCAUCAAGAUUUUCGGAAACCUCUAAGACCCAAAUUUAAUACUCCCUCGCUUUACUCAAAAUUUCAGGCUGCAAAGACUACAAACCAAAUGAAGUUGCUUUUUCUGUGCUCGAUGAAUUUCUUAAGCAAAAAUGCAGGCCUAAUGCAUACCUUUUUUUACUAUGAUGCACAGGCUUUGUGAGCGUGGUCGCGUUGAUGAAGCCUUCAUUGGAAAGGACAGAGGGUGUGAAGCCAGAUAUAUUAGUGUUUAAUAUCUUGAAUUUGGUGCUCAGGAAACAAAGGAGAGUUGAAGAGGGGAUUAAGCUUUUCGUUAGAAUGAUGCUUAAAGGGUGUGAUCCAAAUUCUGGGACUUAUCAAGAGGUUUUGUAUUGUUUGCUUGAUGCGAAGAGGUUUGUUGAAGCGAAGGAUUUUAUGAAGAAGAUGACUGACAAAGGGGUGAUACCAAGCUUUGAGUCUUAAAAGUUUGCUGAUACAUGGUUUUUGUAUCGAGAAUCUUGUGGAAGAUUUAGAUUGGGCAUCCAGGAAAAUGGUAAGGCAUGGAUUUGUGCCAAAAAAGCGAAUAUGGGAGUGAGUUCUUCAUUAUGUGUUCUUGAAUGGUCAUAUUGCUAAUUCUGAUCAUAUUUCGUACAAAGAAAUUAUCAAGAACACAUCUUAUGCGAACCUAAAGGUCAUCACAAUGUUUAACUAUUGCUAUGCUAUGUGUCCUACCAAGGUAGCUGACAGAUCUGUGUGCAGCCUCUGGAGAAGCAGUGAAAGCUGCUACAACCUUUGUUGAAGACUUCCAUUUCUCUGGUUACAUUAUUGAAACAACUGAGGGGAUAUGCGCACGUUCAAUAGUGAGGGUGAAUACAGUUUUACUGUUCAAAUGAUCUGAGAUCUCAAUCCAACUUUUGACAAGCACUGGUUCAAACUUGUACUUGCUCACCUUCCUGCAGAAUAAGGAUAUAGAUUACUCCGCAAGUUCAGGAACGAAAGGAACAGAUGAAGGUGGUGAAUUUUCAGUUUUUUGAGAAGAUGUUAGGAUGUUUCCAGGAUUGCCGUGCACACCUUGGAUCUGCUGGAGAGUUGAGCAACGUAGCUGAAACCUGAUAUGCAAGAGGAUUGUUCCUACACGAGAUUCAAUUAAUCAGAGAAUUGGAUUGUUCAAGUUCUUAGCAAACCAAGUUACCAUUGCUUGCUUUUUUCUUGUGAUCCAACGAGGUACAAGAGGUGCUCGAAAUUCCUAGUGGGGAGAGGUCUUUUGAUGAUCCUGUUGCUUAAGAAAACAUCUGGGGAAAUUAUACACUGCAAAUCUAGUCUGCUUCUAUAGAGUGGGAAAUAUACGUUUUACUGGCAGAAUGUUGUUUCCUUAUCUUGAUGAAACUUGAAAGUGCAAAUAUAUCUGGAAAAUUAUUAGAGACAUGAAAGACUAUAAUGAUGGCCAAUGCAUUAUACUGCCAAUCAUCCUCGUAGUGUGCGUGUAUAUAUAUUUGGUGACUCGGGUAUUCUAGCUUCGCCCACCCAAUUAAUUCCGAGGACUGGCAGCGAACAGGACCUUCGGAGGAGCUGCGAAGUGUAUCAUAAUUUUGCCUCCAUAGGACAUCCGUCUUUUAAUAUAAAUGCUGUUUUCCAGCUGUCACGGAGAUUCAAACCUCUGAUGUUUCGUAUAGAACCUUGCUUUACCACUGUGCCUGCCCAUAGGGCACCCUCGUGGUAUAUUUUUCUUUUGUAAAAGCACCAUGGGCCGUCAAUUACUCUACUUUCUCUUGAACCUUGAAUAAAAGUCACUCUUGCCGUAAGCUUGACUAAGAGUUUCUUGUUUUCAU